UGGGGAAUAUUGGGCAAUGGGGGCAACCCUGACCCAGCAACGCCGCGUGAAGGAAGAAGGCUUUCGGGUUGUAAACUUCUUUGACGAGGGACGAAGAAAUGACGGUACCUCGAAAACAAGCCACGGCUAACUACGUGCCAGCAGCCGCGGUAAUACGUAGGUGGCAAGCGUUGUCCGGAUUUACUGGGUGUAAAGGGCGUGUAGGCGGGCUGUCAAGUCAGAUGUGAAAUCUAUGGGCUUAACCCAUAACGUGCAUUUGAAACUGAUAGUCUUGAGUGAUGGAGAGGCAGGCGGAAUUCCUAGUGUAGCGGUGAAAUGCGUAGAUAUUAGGAGGAACACCAGUGGCGAAGGCGGCCUGCUGGACAUUAACUGACGCUGAGGCGCGAAAGCGUGGGGAGCAAACAGG
rnacentral:rRNA from 2 species